rnacentral:rRNA from 1 species
UACGAAGGGGGCUAGCGUUGCUCGGAAUCACUGGGCGUAAAGCGCACGUAGGCGGGUCUUUAAGUCAGGGGUGAAAUCCUGGAGCUCAACUCCAGAACUGCCUUUGAUACUGAGGAUCUCGAGUCCGGGAGAGGUGAGUGGAACUCCGGAGUGUAGAGGUGAAAUUCGUAGAUAUUCGGAAGAACACCAGUGGCGAAGGCGGCUCACUGGCCCGGUACUGACGCUGAGGUGCGAAAGCGUGGGGAGCAAACAGG